GAUGAACGCUGGCGGCGUGCCUAAUACAUGCAAGUCGAGCGAACGGACGAGAAGCUUGCUUCUCUGAUGUUAGCGGCGGACGGGUGAGUAACACGUGGAUAACCUACCUAUAAGACUGGGAUAACUUCGGGAAACCGGAGCUAAUACCGGAUAAUAUUUUGAACCGCAUGGUUCAAAAGUGAAAGACGGUCUUGCUGUCACUUAUAGAUUGAUCCGCGCUGCAUUAGCUAGUUGGUAAGGUAACGGCUUACCAAGGCAACGAUGCAUAGCCGACCUGAGAGGGUGAUCGGACACACUGGAACUGAGACACGGUCGAGACUCCGACGGGAGGCAGCAGUAGGGAAUCUUACGCGAUGGGGGAAAGCCUGACGGAGCAACGCCGCGUGAGUGAUGAAGGUCUACGGAUCGUAAAACUAUGUUAUUAGGGAAGAACAUAUGUGUAAGUAACUGUGCACAUCUUGACGGUACCUAAUCAGAAAGCCACGGCUAACUACGUG
rnacentral:rRNA from 1 species